rnacentral:rRNA from 1 species
AAUGAACGCUGGCGGCGUGCUUAACACAUGCAAGUCGAACGAAGAAGGGAGAACGGAUUACUUCGGUUGGAAGAUCUUUAUGACUGAGUGGCGGACGGGUGAGUAACGCGUGGGUAACCUGCCUUGUACUGGGGGAUAGCAGCUGGAAACGGCUGGUAAUACCGCAUAAGCGCACAAUGUUGCAUGACAUGGUGUGAAAAACUCCGGUGGUAUAAGAUGGACCCGCGUCUGAUUAGCUAGUUGGUGAGAUAACAGCCCACCAAGGCGACGAGCAGUAGCCGACCUGAGAGGGUGACCGGCCACAUUGGGACUGAGACACGGCCCAGACUCCUACGGGAGGCAGCAGUGGGGAAUAUUGCACAAUGGAGGAAACUCUGAUGCAGCGACGCCGCGUGAGUGAAGAAGUAAUUCGUUAUGUAAAGCUCUAUCAGCAGGGAAGAUAGUGACGGUACCUGACUAAGAAGCUCCGGCUAAAUACGUGCCAGCCGCCGCAGUAAUAC